AGAGUUUGAUCCUGGCUCAGAACGAACGUUGGCGGCGUGGUUUAGGCAUGCAAGUCGAACGAGAAAGUCUCCUUCGGGAGGCGAGUAAAGUGGCGAACGGGAGAGUAACGCGUGGGAAAUCUGCCCUUCAGCGGGGGACAACAUCUCUAACGAGGUGCUAAUACCGCAUACGACCUUGGAGUCUCAUGACACCUCGGUGAAAGAUGGCCUCUUCUUGAAAGCUGUCACUGAAGGAUGAUCCCGCGUCCCAUUAGCUUGUUGGUGGGGUAAUGGCCUACCAAGGCGACGAUGGGUAGCCGGCCUGAGAGGGUGUCCGGCCUCACUGGGACUGAGAUACGGCCCAGACUCCUACGGGAGGCAGCAGUCGAGAAGCUUCGGCAAUGGACGAAAGUCUGACCGAGCGACGCCGCGUGAGCGAUGAAGGUCCUAGUGAUCGUAAAGCUCUGUCAGGAGGGAAUAAAUGCCUGCAGUUAAUACCUGCAGGAGUGAAGUACCUCCAGAGAAGC
rnacentral:rRNA from 1 species